UGUUGCUAGUAAAGAACACAAAAAGUUGACAGCUGUAGAAGUCAUCAGUUUAACAUUACCUAUAUUUCAUUCUGUGGAGUUGAAAAACAAUGCAGCAGAACAUACUGUUUUCUUCACUUGAGAUUACAAUAAUCAGGGCAUCAUCACCAUGAUCUGAGCACAUGUUCUGGCCGGUUCCAGGUCGAUGGCCAUCCUGCCUAGCUCUGGGGUAUGAUGGUAACAAUACAGGAGGUGUUUUUCCAAGGCAGUUUGGUUUCUCACUGUCACAACUGUCAGCAGCAAUGCUACAAGACUCCAGGUGGCAUGACUCAAAUGCAGCUUCAUGCAUUCCCAUGGCCUCAGAUGAAAUCUACGGCUGGAGCUUCAGAGGUCAGGUUUACAAAAAGAUACAGUUUUCAAAAGCUAUGCUAAAGGGUUCUGGGACUGGUUUUGGAGUGGCAGCUCCUGAAGAUGAAAGGAAAUGAAACAGGAGAGAGAGAGUGGAGCUUCUCCAUGGCAUACCAGGAAGGGAUGGUGCUUGGUGUUUGAGCUACCGUGCAACCCAUACUUGGUAGACAAAGGUUAUUUCAUGCCCAAACUUCUCACCUUAGACUUUUCUUUGUGCUUUUGUUGGUAAAAAUGUAAUUAAAAUUGAAUUAGCUUUUCCUCUC